GAGCUAAUACAUGCAUCCAAGCCCGACUUCGCAGAAGGGUUGUGUUUAUUAGAUCCAGAACCAACCCAGGCUCCGCCUGGACAUGUGGUGAUUCAUGAUAACUUGACGAAUCGUGCGGCCUUGCCGACGAUGCGUCAUUCAAGUUUCUGACCUAUCAGCUUCCGACGGUAGGGUAUUGGCCUACCGUGGCAAU
rnacentral:rRNA from 1 species